CUUGAAGUGUAACUUUCUUCUCAAGGACAAGACUCUCAGAUCCUUUUUCCUUCAUGCUGUGCUGCAAAAAGCACAGACACUGUGUUCAUACAGUUCUUUUCUUGAAGUUUGGCUCCCUCAUUUACUGGCUGUCUGAUGUUAGCAAGUUGCAGAAAGUCUAUGAAGCUCAGCUUUAUACUUGAAGUGUUGUGUGAGGAUCAAAGGAGAAAGUGUGUUUGAGACACCAAGCAUAUUCCAUGUACUUAAUUCAUGGUGGUUAUUACUAUAUUCUGGCUUAAUCUCCAAGUUCAUUAUCCACGUCAAUAGUCACCUUGACAUUAGGAAAAGUGUGUCCACUGACAAGGAAUCAUAAGAUGAACAAAAUGUGCCUCUUGAUGGUGUAGCCAUUGAUGAUGUGGGUCAGAAUUCCAAAGAUGACUCCCUAAUAUUCCUAUCUUCUGGUAACUCAAACAGUCAUCUACGCACUGCAGAGGUUCUGUUGUUGUAAUUAAAGUCCCAAAUCAGGUUGCCUUAAAAUACCAUGAUUAACUGGCAUGUGCCUCACUUAAGCACACACAUCCUUUAAAAGGUGAUGACAGCGGCAUGAUGGGAAGUCAGGAAGAUUCAAAGCAUAGGAAGGAUUUGACGUGGCAUUGCUGGCUUUGAAAAUGGAAGGCCCACAAGCCUGGGAAUAUAGGUGGCCUCCAGAAGCUGACAACAGCUCCUGGUCAAUAGCCAGCAAAGAAACAGGGACCUCAAUCCUACAGCUGCACAUGACUGAAUUCUGCCGGCAACUGAAUUGACUGACUCUUCUCCAGAUUCCCAGCUGGUUCUGGAAGGCAGGAAGUUCUGCCAGGUCUCGGCUGGAAUCAAACACCUAAGGACACAGACCUGAGAUUGCUCUGCAGCCAGACGGAGCUGGAGUCAGGAACUCAGAGGGAAGAGAGAUGCUUCAGGCAGUGAGGCCCAAGGCAACAAAUGACUCCAAUGUUUAGACAAGUUCUGGGAAGAAAAGAAACUGUACGUGCAAGCUACGCAUCUGUCAGUAAGCCCUCAUCUAUGUGUUACUGCAUGUUCAGACAAUUUCAGGAUACAGAACCUGAAAAUCAUAUAACUGCUGAGUCAUCGUCCUGUCUACUCACCAUGACAGAGUCCUCCCAAAUGGAAACUGGUUGCCAGCCCCCCACUCUUCCUUUUUCUAAUAAAGCAGCUGAUACAUUAUUGUCCCCA
rnacentral:lncRNA from 1 species